rnacentral:rRNA from 1 species
CCUACGGGAUGCAGCAGUGAGGAAUAUUGGUCAAUGGGCGUAAGCCUGAACCAGCCAAGUCGCGUGAGGGAUGAAGGUUCUAUGGAUCGUAAACCUCUUUUAUAAGGGAAUAAAGUGUGGGACGUGUCCGAUUUUGGAUGUACCUUAUGAAUAAGGAUCGGCUAACUCCGUGCCAGCAGCCGCGGUAAUACGGAGGAUCCGAGCGUUAUCCGGAUUUAUUGGGGUUAAAGGUUGCGUAGGCGGCCUUUUAAGUCAGUGGUGAAAGUCGGUGGCUCAACCAUCGAAUUGCCGUUGAAACUGGUGGGCUUGAGUAUGUUUGAGGCAGGCGGAAUGCGUGGUGUAGCGGUGAAAUGCUUAGAUAUCACGCAGAACCCCGAUUGCGAAGGCAGCCUGCCAAGCCAUGACUGACGCUGAUGCACGAAAGCGUGGGGAUCAAACAGGAUUAGAUACCCGUGUAGUC